UACGUAGGGUCCGAGCGUUGUCCGGAAUUAUUGGGCGUAAAGAGCUCGUAGGCGGUUUGUCGCGUCUGCUGUGAAAUCCCGAGGCUCAACCUCGGGUCUGCAGUGGGUACGGGCAGACUGGAGUGCGGUAGGGGAGAAUGGAAUUCCUGGUGUAGCGGUGGAAUGCGCAGAUAUCAGGAGGAACACCGAUGGCGAAGGCAGUUCUCUGGGCCGUAACUGACGCUGAGGUGCGAAAGCGUGGGGAGCAAACAGG
rnacentral:rRNA from 1 species